UACAGAGGGCCCAAGCGUUGUCCGGAAUCAUUGGGCGUAAAGAGCGUGUAGGCGGCCCGGUAAGUCCGCUGUGAAAGUCGGGGGCUCAACCCUCGAAUGCCGGUGGAUACUGUCGGGCUAGAGUGCGGAAGAGGCGAGUGGAAUUCCUGGUGUAGCGGUGAAAUGCGCAGAUAUCAGGAGGAACACCAAUUGCGAAGGCAGCUCGCUGGGACGUAACUGACGCUGAGACGCGAAAGCGUGGGGAGCAAACAGG
rnacentral:rRNA from 1 species